rnacentral:lncRNA from 1 species
GCAGCCCAAGGUUCUAACCUUGCCAGCCAGCAGGACAGAAGCCUCAGAUUGUCCCUUCAGUGCAAAUCACUAGGUUUAAUUCUACAAAUCCCAGCACAUUUGGCCUCCUUGGGGCCUGUGCAGUCUCCAGAGGAUGCCAGGGCACCGGGAUGUCACAUGUUCCUCACAGAUCUAUCCUUUUCCCCCUGACCCACGUCAGGAGCCAUAAACACACAGAGGAGAGCAAACCCUUAGCACCUGCUGCUCUGUCACUGGAACUUUCCAAGGCUGAGCGCCCACACCUCCUCCUGAAGACCUCACUUUCCUUCCCACAAAGGCACCCUCCCCUUGUAUUUGAGGGAGACCCUAAAUGUACUCUCUAGCUUCACUUCCUUUUAGUUGACUUUAAACAGCACUAAUUUUGGAGUCACACCCUGGAGCAAUACACUGUUAGCCUCCCAGUAGCUCCGCUCUAGAGGACAAGGAUAACCAAACUACCCUGGGGUUAAAAGUGUUCUCCAACAAAAGUUGAGGUUCUUUUUAAAAUUGUUUUUGGCUUUUGCUCUUCUCCCUUGUUCUGCUAUUUUUGAGGGGUGUUUUCAGGAUCCAACCCAGGGGUGCAAAACUGCUGAACCACAUCCUCAGCCCUUUUUAUUUUGAGACAGGAUCUUACUAUGUUUUGGAGGCUUGCUAAAUUGUUCAAACCUAGGCUCCUCCUGCCUCAGCCUCCAGAGUUUCUGGGAUUACAGGUAUGCACCACUGUGCCCAGCUGUUGUUCUGUUAUAUUAAACAAUGAGGUCAGCUAUUCCUGAAAAACGAC